rnacentral:rRNA from 1 species
GAUGAACGCUGGCGGCGUGCCUAAUACAUGCAAGUCGAGCGAACAGACGAGGAGCUUGCUCCUCUGACGUUAGCGGCGGACGGGUGAGUAACACGUGGAUAACCUACCUGUAAGACUGGGAUAACUUCGGGAAACCGGAGCUAAUACCGGAUAAUAUAUUGAACCGCAUGGUUCAAUAGUGAAAGACGGUUUUGCUGUCACUUAUAGAUGGAUCCGCGCCGCAUUAGCUAGUUGGUAAGGUAACGGCUUACCAAGGCAACGAUGCGUAGCCGACCUGAGAGGGUGAUCGGCCACACUGGAACUGAGACACGGUCCAGACUCCUACGGGAGGCAGCAGUAGGGAAUCUUCCGCAAUGGGCGAAAGCCUGACGGAGCAACGCCGCGUGAGUGAUGAAGGUCUUUGGAUCGUAAAACUCUGUUAUUAGGGAAGAACAAAUGUGUAAGUAACUAUGCACGUCUUGACGGUACCUAAUCAGAAAGCCACGGCUAACUACGUG